AGUGAACGCUGGCGGUAGGCCUAACACAUGCAAGUCGAACGGCAGCACAGUAAGAGCUUGCUCUUACGGGUGGCGAGUGGCGGACGGGUGAGGAAUACAUCGGAAUCUACUUUUUCGUGGGGGAUAACGUAGGGAAACUUACGCUAAUACCGCAUACGACCUACGGGUGAAAGCAGGGGAUCUUCGGACCUUGCGCGAUUGAAUGAGCCGAUGUCGGAUUAGCUAGUUGGCGGGGUAAAGGCCCACCAAGGCGACGAUCCGUAGCUGGUCUGAGAGGAUGAUCAGCCACACUGGAACUGAGACACGGUCCAGACUCCUACGGGAGGAAGCAGUGGGGAAUAUUGGACAAUGGGCGCAAGCCUGAUCCAGCCAUACCGCGUGGGUGAAGAAGGCCUUCGGGUUGUAAAGCCCUUUUGUUGGGAAAGAGAAGCAGCAGGUUAAUACCCCGCUGUUCUGACGGUACCCAAAGAAUAAGCACCGGCUAACUUCGUG
rnacentral:rRNA from 1 species